rnacentral:SRP_RNA from 1 species
GCCGAGCUUGGUAACGCUUGCUUGUGACCUCUGUGGGGGCUUGAUGGAACAGGGGGCUGGCUUGCAGAAUCAGAUCUGGAGUUGGUCCAGAUCUGGCUUGCCCGUUCCAAGCUAAGAGCUGAACCGAGGGGCUUGAGUGAAAACAUUGAGUCUCGUGGUUCCUAAAGUGGAGUGUCACAGAGCAGCGAAGACCUCCCUCUCUUAGCAGUGGAAGGAUAACAGGCUUGAUCCUCUCUAAUCUAACAUGGUUCUGUGAGCUGAUCCUAACUGGACCAUCAUCUUU